CCACCGAGAGUGGAGGUCCUGCUGGAACAACAAAAGAUACUUGGCUGCAGACUCUACAAGAUCAAAUACAACCUCUUCCGUCUGUGAUAUUCCUGUAUGCGAAACCUGUAGCCUGACCUCAGCAAACCA